UACGAAGGUGGCAAGCGUUGUUCGGAUUUACUGGGCGUACAGGGAGCGUAGGCGGUUGGAUAAGCCCUCCGUGAAAUCUCCAGGCUUAACCUGGAAAGUGCAGAGGGGACUGUUCAGCUAGAGGAUGGGAGAGGAGCGCGGAAUUCCCGGUGUAGCGGUGAAAUGCGUAGAGAUCGGGAGGAAGGCCGGUGGCGAAGGCGGCGCUCUGGAACAUUUCUGACGCUGAGGCUCGAAAAGCGUGGGGGAGCAAACAGGG
rnacentral:rRNA from 1 species